rnacentral:rRNA from 1 species
GCACCCCCAGGCCAGCGGGAAUACCCGGUGA